rnacentral:rRNA from 1 species
GUGAGGAAUAUUGGACAAUGGGCGCAAGCCUGAUCCAGCCAUGCCGCGUGCAGGAAGACGCAUCUAUGGUGUGUAAACUGCUUUUGUACGGGAAGAAACACCCCCUCGUGAGGGAGCUUGACGGUACCGUAAGAAUAAGGAUCGGCUAACUCCGUGCCAGCAGCCGCGGUAAUACGGAGGAUCCAAGCGUUAUCCGGAAUCAUUGGGUUUAAAGGGUCCGUAGGCGGUUUAAUAAGUCAGUGGUGAAAGCCCAUCGCUCAACGAUGGAACGGCCAUUGAUACUGUUAGACUUGAAUUACAAGGAAGUAACUAGAAUAUGUAGUGUAGCGGUGAAAUGCUUAGAUAUUACAUGGAAUACCAAUUGCGAAGGCAGGUUACUACUUGUGGAUUGACGCUGAUGGACGAAAGCGUGGGGAGCGAACAGGAUUAGAAACCCUGGUAGUCC